GGGAAUAUUGGACAAUGGGGGCAACCCUGAUCCAGCAAUGCCGCGUGUGUGAAGAAGGUUUUCGGAUUGUAAAGCACUUUCGGCGGGGACGAUGAUGACGGUACCCGCAGAAGAAGCCCCGGCUAACUUCGUGCCAGCAGCCGCGGUAAUACGAAGGGGGCUAGCGUUGCUCGGAAUGACUGGGCGUAAAGGGCGUGUAGGCGGUUUGUACAGUCAGAUGUGAAAUCC
rnacentral:rRNA from 1 species